UACAGAGGGUGCGAGCGUUAAUCGGAAUUACUGGGCGUAAAGCGCACGUAGGCGGCUUUGCAAGUCGGGUGUGAAAUCCCCGGGCUCAACCUGGGAACUGCAUUCGAGACUGCAUUGCUCGAGUAUGGGAGAGGGAAGUGGAAUUUCCGGUGUAGCGGUGAAAUGCGUAGAUAUCGGAAGGAACAUCAGUGGCGAAGGCGACUUCCUGGACCAAUACUGACGCUCAGGUGCGAAAGCGUGGGGAGCAAACAGG
rnacentral:rRNA from 1 species